UGCACAUUUGCAGAAACAAGCUUGCACGCACAUUAUCAUCUCGUGUUUAUUCAUUACCCUUUACAAAAAGAUAGGCAUACUUUGAUAUUUCCAAUAUUUAAAAAUAAACCACGCACUUAAAAAUAUGUUUCUCAAAGGACGAUAUAGCAUCAUUCUGUCCUGAGCUAAACCACGCCCUCGUUACGAUGGUUGCGCUUACGUAACGUCAACGUCUCAGGCGGGAGAAAUUGAAAGCAUUGUACUUCAGUGGGGAAAGAGGCACGCCGUGGAAGAGCAAUCUUAAUAGUAAGUGUGCAAAGAUUGUAUGUAGUUCUUUGUUUAAGACACUUCAUCUAAAUUUGUCCUCCUAAAUGUUCAUCAUAUACGGCUUGUGUAACUGAUGACAACCGAUUAAAUUCUUAUUUUAUCUAGUAAUUUGUUAGCUCCAAGUUUAAUGAUAAUUUGAGAAAUUAUAUAUGGUACGACAGCAAUAAAAUAAUAAAAACAUUUAGUGUGGAUGUUCCCAAUGUUUAGAUGCAAACAAAACAAUAUUAUUUAUAAAUGGAUUAUAUAUAUCAUUUAGGGUAAACAGUGUAAAAUGCGCUUAUUUUCGAGAUAGCACGCUUCCAUGCAGACUGUUUUUUAAGCAGAAGUUUGGUUUCAUAAGAAACGCAUGCGUGAGUCAACUCCUGACCCAAACUCCAACCCAGACGGUGGCGGUAAUGUUCCAAAAGCUGGUUGCCAAACGCUAUGAAGAUCACAAGAAGAAAAAGAAGUUUGGCGUUUCAAAACAGUGGAUUCCGGUCAGAAAGACACACAUGAGGAAGCUCGACUCAGCUUGGCUUGCAGACAGAUGAGGACGGUGAUUGCCUGUCAUACACCUAAAGAAAGAACAGGGGCAUUAAAGACACAACUAUAGUGAACGUGAUGAAGAAAAAUUAUUUGG